AACGAACGCUGGUGGCAGGCCUAACACAUGCAAGUCGAGCGCUCACCUUCGGGUGGGAGCGGCGCACGGGUGAGUAACACGUGGGAACCUACCUUGAAGUACGGAAUAACUGAGGGAAACUUCAGCUAAUACCGUAUACGCCCUACGGGGGAAAGAUUUAUCGCUUCAAGACGGGCCCGCGUUGGAUUAGCUAGUUGGUGAGGUAAUGGCUCACCAAGGCAACGAUCCAUAGCUGAUUUGAGAGAAUGAUCAGCCACACUGGGACUGAGACACGGCCCAGACUCCUACGGGAGGCAGCAGUGGGGAAUAUUGGACAAUGGGCGCAAGCCUGAUCCAGCCAUGCCGCGUGAGUAAUGAAGGCCUUCGGGUUGUAAAGCUCUUUCAGAUGGGACGAUGAUGACGGUACCAUCAGAAGAAGAAGCACCGGCUAACUACGUGCCAGCAGCCGCCGUAAUAC
rnacentral:rRNA from 1 species